rnacentral:lncRNA from 1 species
GCUUAUCACAGCAGAAGAGAUUGCCAAUUUUGAAAUGCAUUAGUGGACACAUUUGGAAUGGUGGAUUUUCAGAACAUGGUGAUGAGGUCAGUAGUACAACAACAGGGGCACAGUGCCUGACCAGAGCAUGUCCUGUGGAACUGUCCGGCUUGGGGAUGCACUGCCUUGGUUCAGUUGGCUAGAGAAGCAAGCAACAGGAAUGAUCCACGGACACAUGUA